GACGAACGCUGGCGGCGUGCCUAAUACAUGCAAGUAGAACGCUGAAGGAGGAGCUUGCUUCUCUGGAUGAGUUGCGAACGGGUGAGUAACGCGUAGGUAACCUGCCUGGUAGCGGGGGAUAACUAUUGGAAACGAUAGCUAAUACCGCAUAAGAGUAGAUGUUGCAUGACAUUUGCUUAAAAGGUGCAAUUGCAUCACUACCAGAUGGACCUGCGUUGUAUUAGCUAGUUGGUGAGGUAACGGCUCACCAAGGCGACGAUACAUAGCCGACCUGAGAGGGUGAUCGGCCACACUGGGACUGAGACACGGCCCAGACUCCUACGGGAGGCAGCAGUAGGGAAUCUUCGGCAAUGGACGGAAGUCUGACCGAGCAACGCCGCGUGAGUGAAGAAGGUUUUCGGAUCGUAAAGCUCUGUUGUAAGAGAAGAACGAGUGUGAGAGCGGAAAGUUCACACUGUGACGGUAUCUUACCAGAAAGGGACGGCUAACUACGUG
rnacentral:rRNA from 1 species